rnacentral:rRNA from 1 species
AAUUAAAUAUUUAAUUUUCUCGAUUUUAAAAGAGUUAAUAUAUUAUGAAAGUUAAUGUGGCAAAAUUAUUUUUAAUAAUAUAUUAGAAAUGAAAUGUUAUUCGUUUUUAAAGGUAUCUAGUUCUUUAAGAAAUAAAUUUAAUUUAGAAAUUUUAUAUUAUUUAGUUAGUUAAAUUAAUUAAAUAAUUAUUUAAUUUUAAUAUUUUAUGGGAUAAGCUGUAAAAUAAAUUAUUAAAAAUAUUUAAAUAAUAUAAUAAAUAUAGAUUUAGAAAUAGUUAUUAUUAGUAAAAGUGUUAUAAUUUAUCUUAUAAAUGUUAAUUAUUUAUUUAAAUUUUAAUUUUUUAUUAAAGUAUUCAUUUUAAUUUUAAAAAUGAAGUAAUAAUGAUAAAAUUAGUAUAUAUUUAUGUAUAAAUAAGUUUAUAUGAAAAGUUUUUAUAAAGAACUCGGCAAAAUUAAUGUCCGCCUGUUUAACAAAAACAUGUCUUUUUGAAUUAUUUAAAAAGUCUAACCUGCCCACUGAAUUAUUUUAAAUGGCCGCAGUAUCCUAGCUGUGCAAAGGUAGCAUAAUCAUUAGUCUUUUAAUUGAAGGCUGGUAUGAGUGGUUGGACGAGAUAUUAACUGUUUCAUAAAAAUUUAUAAUAGAAUUUUAUUUUUUAGUCAAAAAGCUAAAAUAAAUUUAAAAGACGAGAAGCCCCUAUAAAUCUUUAUAUUUAGAUAAUUACAAUUUUGUGGAUUUUUUUUGUUGUGAUUGUUGAUAAUAUUUUAUUGGGGUGAUAUUAAAAUUUAAAAAACUUUUAAUUAAUUUAAUCAUUAAUUUAUGGAUAAUUGAUCCGUUAUUAACGAUUAAAAAUUUAAGUUACUUUAGGGAUAACAGCGUAAUUUUUUUGGAGAGUUCAUAUCGAUAAAAAAGAUUGCGACCUCGAUGUUGGAUUAAGAGAUAUAUUUUGGUGUAGUCGCUAAAAUGUUAAGUCUGUU